rnacentral:tRNA from 1 species
GCCUGGGUGGCUCAGUCAGUUGAGCAUCUGACUUCGGUUCAGGUCAUGAUCUCAUGGUUCGUGGGUUCGAGUUCCGUGUCGGGCU